rnacentral:rRNA from 1 species
UCCAGACUCCUACGGGAGGCAGCAGUGAGGAAUAUUGGUCAAUGGUCGGGAGACUGAACCAGCCAAGCCGCGUGAGGGAUGAAGGUACAGAGUAUCGUAAACCUCUUUUGUCAGGGAACAAAGGCGGGGACGUGUCCCCGGAUGAGUGUACCUGAAGAAAAAGCAUCGGCUAACUCCGUGCCAGCAGCCGCGGUAAUACGGAGGAUGCGAGCGUUAUCCGGAUUUAUUGGGUUUAAAGGGUGCGCAGGCGGUAUUGUAAGGCAGGGUACACACCCGGGGGCCCACCCCGGGCCCGCCGUUGAAACUGGCAGUCUCGAGUUGGAGAGAAGUAUGCGGAAUGCGCGGUGUAGCGGUGAAAUGCAUAGGUAUCGCGCAGAACUCCGAUUGCGAAGGCAGCAUGCCGGCUCCACACUGACGCUGAGGCACGAAAGCGUGGGUAUCGAACAGGAUUAGAUACCCCAGUAC